CUGCCCUCGGGACCCAAGAGCCUCAAGGUCAAGUGCCAAGCCUUCCCUUAUGAUGGUUCAACAAGACUGAAGCAGCCCACUCCAGCGAGCCCACUGGUCACAGAUAACCAUCAUGGGGAUGGAGCCAAGGGUUCAAAUGGAUGUGGCAGGAUUGCCUCAAAAGUUGACGGACACCACCUCUGAGUAAUCAGCAAUUGCAGACCCACAAGUGGAAGUCUCUUGAUAAUGGUGUCAGUGGUUUCAUCUAAUACAACCCAAGUGAUUCUAGCUGAGGAAGUCUGGCUUCUUUGUGGGAGCAUAUCCCAAACUACAAACCUGAACAGCUAAUUCCUGUUGACUAUAUCUGCCAGAGGACUAUAGACUAAUUUUUAUGGGAUCAAGAAUAUAAAUAAGUACAUGUUUCUUAUAAGAACUGUGUUAAUUCUUCUUCCCUUUAUGAAAUAAAGGCUUUUUGAAAAACCUGAAAGGUUCAGGAAGCAAACAC